GGAUAUAGCUCAGUUGGCAGAGUGUUUGCCUUGCAUGCACAAAACCUCCGGUUCAAACCCCAACACCG
rnacentral:tRNA from 1 species